UGUUUUUAUUAAAUAGUUAAUGUGAUUGCUUAAUUUCUUUUAAUAAUAUAAAAUUAAACAAAAAAUGAGGAAGUAUACAAAAAAAUUGUUAUCAAAUCUUUAUUAUUCAUAAUCAUUAAUUAUCAUAUAUAUGUUAACCAUAUUAGAUAAUACCGUAGUUUUUAUUUAAGAAAAUAAUACAUGAUUCUCAUAUUUUGGGUUAAUAUAAUGUUUCAUACCAAUUGAAUUUUGGACCUACAAAUUAUUCAAUUGAUUCUUAUGAUGCCACGUAAGCCAAAUUGACAUCAUAAUUAAGUGGCACAUCAUUAAGUCUCUUUUGUAAUUAGUACAAAAUAUAUGUUAUAAUUUUUUAAAUAAUUUUCAAUUAAUAUACAUGAGAUACUAAUAUCUCCUAAACAAAUGGGAUCAUAUAAAUUUAAUGGUAAUCGUUCGACUAAGAUCACAUCCCCUGUACAAAUUAAUCAGAUUUAAUUAAACACAUAAAAAUAACAUUUUUGGAUUAAAAACCACCACUAAUUGAUGAAUGUAUGAAGAGUCAUAUUAUCAUUCUAACAAGUUUCCUUUUGCUAUAAAUGAAUAUGUUUCAUAUAUUUUUUAAAGCUGUUGAGCUCAAAACAAUAGAAAAGUAAUUAGAUUUGUAAAGUUACGAUUGCAAAUAUAAGACUCAACAACACAAAGCAAAAGAAAAAGAAAAACUAACUAGGAUCUAAACAAAUAUGACAAAUAAAAAGGUGUACUAAUUGUCUUCGAUUAACAGGGACUACGUGGUGUUAAUGAUGGACAAGUGUGAAAUCUGUACUAACCAACAAAAGAAACAAACAGAAGCAAUGAAUCAAAUCAAACUUUGUGAUAUUAAUAAUAAAGAAAGCCUUUAUCUAAUUAAGCUUUUAAUAAUGGAUGCGAGGAGAAGAGAUUGGAUAUGGAUAUAUAGUUGCCGCUAAUUCUUUCUGUGCAGUAGACGUAAACAUCAGACACAUGAAAGUUAGGCUAAAGUCAAAGUCAAACUCGUCAAGGCCUUUCAUACCCACAUGCCCACAUCUUGUGUUAAACUAAUUCUUUGUUUGUAAAAUUCUUUCGUUCUUGCAGUAAAUACAUUAUUCCCUCCGUUUCUAAAUACUAUGUUUUGGAAAAUGUUUGAUGUUUCAAAAUAGAUGAUAUUUUUAUAUAUUAAUGUAUUUUUUAAUUUUAUCGAAAACUGUGUAACCAAUUAUAUUUUGUAGUAUGUUUUGUAAUUUGUUGAAUAAUUUUAAUUUAUAUUUUAAUAAUAUUUUUAAAAUAAAAAAUAAAAUUUUUAAUAGCUAUGCACAAUCCUAAAACUUCAUGUAUUUUGAAACAGAAGGAAUACUAAUUAACAAAUAAUCACUAACUAUUUGAAUAAAGGAUAAAGAAAAAUACGGAGACAAUGUGGAAAUUAAUCCACACAAUCUAAAGAAGAAACAUUAAUUUUAGUUUCACAUCACAUAUCAUAUCCAACAUAUAAAAAUGUUAUCUAGUGGAAGAAGUCCUAUGAAUAUGCUUCAGAUUUUUAAAUAAACAAGUUUAAAAUAGUAUUACUGUUGUUUUUAUCUCAUCAAGUUUCCCAAGGAUUUGACUACUCCCACACCUGGUAAGACCUAAUUAUUACAUCAAACAGUAAUCAUUUCUAAAUCCAAGUUUAUCGUACUAUUCUUCCAUGAGAUGGAGAUUAAGAAACAAGAAGGAUAUAAAAUGAGACAGGACUAUUAUCUGCUAAACUCCAAGAUAUAGUUUUUACUCCAGAAAGAAAAAGAUAAAUGUGGUGAAAACGAGACAUAAUAAUAUAUGUGAAAAGAAAAGUAACCACCAUAAACUGGUGACUGUAUAAUAAGACAGACUCCACAGGCAAAGCGGCUAUCAUAUGAUAAUUGAAACUGAUGUCUAAAAAAGUCCAACACGACUCCUAGUGCUAAGUCCUGAGAAGUUGAUGUCCCAUUAAGUUAACAACAGUUAAAAGAGAUGCUUUUCUAGGAAUGAGGUAAUACAGUAACACGUGCAGUUGAAAUUUCAAGUCUUUGAUGUCAAAUCAUGAGAAAUAAAUUUUGACAGUUUUAGAAAGAUACUACAUUCCAAUUCUAAUCCAAAACGUGUGUAAGUGUGUUUUUCGUUCUUUUGAUAUCUAAGAUAAGGUUACCCAAAUACUGUAACAAUAACCUAACCUAAUCAAACAACAACUAGUGAAACAUACAUUUACCUUUAUAGGUUUAACCACUACAAGAAAAAAUGGUCAUAACAACUACGCGUUACGACUACAAUUGUGACAUCGUAAUUUUACAUCGUCUUUAAAACAAACUGACGACGAAAAUUGAAAUCGUCUAAUUUUGGUACGACAAAAUUCCAUAGUAAAUUAGUCGUAAAAUAGCGACUCUUUUACGACGAUCAAAUCGUAAUUUUGCUAGAAAAGCGUUUUGUCGUAAAUUAGUCGUAGAGUCACAACUAGUUUACGAUGACGUAUUAAAUUCGUCGUUACAAAGUCUUUAAUUUAUGACCAUUUUACGUCGAACAAUUUUCAUCUAGUUAACGAUCCUAUUACGAGGCAUGUAGUUGUAAAUUAAUAGUAAAUUUUAUGGUGAAUGUAAACUGGUAGUGACAUUCCCACCUAUCAAUUUUUUUUUUUUUUAUAAAUAUGCUAUCUCUUCUCUCAUUCUUAAGAUGCAGAAGAAAAAAACAAAAAAUGUCUCGAGAUAUCUAUGAGCUUCUGAGUUGGAUGUAUGCACACAAAGAUUAUGCGGGAAGAGUGACAAACGAUUUUCUCAACAGGACCGAGAUAUUAAUGUACCAGGCCGGAAAUACGCUCUCACGCAAAUAAAAACCGGAAAAAAUGUUGUCCUUGUCGGAAAUGCAAGAAUACCAAGUUUGCUCUUAGUGAAACGGUUUGGAAACAUAUAGUAAAUAGAGGAUUUACUCCACAUUACUACAUCUAGUUUCACCAUGGAGAGAGUGAUAGUAGGAAUGAAGCUAGUAGUAGUAACCAGUUUGAAAAUGUUCGUAAUAGAAAUGAACCAAGCCAUUUGCCUUCUAAAAGUUACCCUCAAGAGGAUCAGAUGGUAAAUCAUGAUAGAAUGCAUGAUAUUGUCACAUAUGCAUUUCGUGAAACAAUCUCAGUAAUAGAGAAAGUAAAAAAUGUAAAAGGGCCUAACUUGGAUGCAAAAAUAUUUUAAGAAAUGGUAGCCGCAACUAAUCAACCGAUAUAUGAAGGUUGUAUAGAAGGUCUUUCUAAAUUAUCAUUGACAACUAAGAGUCUAGGAUGAUGAAUAUCAAAACAUAUAACUUACCUGAAAUUUGGAGUGGAAGAUGCAGAAUUGUUGGAGUGUAAAUUUUGCAUGAAGCCACAAUAUAAACCGCAAGGACGUGGGCAUAAUGAAGCGGAUGUGGUCCUUACCUAUUACGGAUAGACUGAAGAGAUUAUAUCAAUUUGAAAAGAUUGCAGCAGCGAUGAUAUGGAAUGCAUAACAUACUCAGAAGGAAGGUUAGAUCAAUCAUCCGUCAAUGCAAAAACGUGGAAACAUUUGAAUUCGGUACACAAAGAUUUUGCAAGCAACAUUCGCAAUGUUUAUCUUGGAUUGUGCACAGAUAGAUUUAGUCCUUUUGGAAUGUCUGGAAGACAAUACUCACUGUUGCCAGUCAGGACGCCACACAACCUUCCACCAGAGAUUUGUAUGGAAAGGGAAUUCCUUUUCAUGAGAUGAGUUUGAAGAAAGUGAUGAUCCGGAUGAUGGUUCUGAUGAAGAGUGAUUUUAGUUAUGUCAGUUUGCAAUUCAAUUUGUGUUUCAUUUUUUUUGUUAGACUCAUUGAUAUUGCAUUAUCAUUUUCAUUAUCUUGCUAAAGUAUGAACUUAAUGUUAACAAAAAAAUUAACGUUCAAACAAGUUAUGAAACUUUGUAGUUUGGUGUUUAAAAGUGUAUAACUUAUGAUGUUUGGGGUUUCGGUUUGAGGGUAUAAACAAAAAUCAUCCCUACUUCGUCGUAAUCUAAGCAAUCGUCGUAAAAUCGAAGUAAAUUUACGAUGAAGUAGAGAUGAAUCCUAUAAAUUUGUCCUGAUGUCGUAGGCAUGAGUAUACAUGAUCUCUCUCUACUUCUUCAUAAAUUUACAUCGCUUUUACGACGAUUGCUUAGAUUUGAGCCUAUAAAUAUGGACCACUCUCAUUCUUAAAAUGCACAAGUUUAAAACUCUUAAAAUAGAUUUUAAAAUAGAGAGAUUUAACAGACGCUUGAGGAUUCUUCACAAGAGACUUGAGAAAAUUUAGUUUCUUCAGAUGAAUCCUCAUGGUUUGAUAAAUCUCUCAGAGCAUUUUGUGUAUAACAAUUAGGGAUGUUAUAAUGGGUUUUGUUAGCGGGUUUUUAAUGGGUUAAAAAAAAAUAAACGCCCAUUUAGACUCAUUUAGUUAAAUGGGUUUUAAAUGGGUAAUUUUGUUGAGAUCCAUGUUCGAGAUUGCGCUAGGCGUGAGUUGGACGGCUGGUCUGGGCCUAGCGAAUUGAAAAGAAAUCGGAGUUUAAUCGACGAUUAAUCGGGGAUUAAUUUUGAGCAUUUUUUUCAAUUUUCUGAUAAAUAUAUAUAUUUUUGUAUGAUUUAUAAAGAAGACAUCAACAAUUAAUGUGGCUUGGUGGUAAUUAAAUUUGUGGACAUCCGCUAGUAUCCGUGUUCAAAGCCCAAGGACCGUUUUUUCUUCUCUUUUUUUUUGUUUUUGUCACUAAUGGAACAACCGUAAAUAAGUCAUCAUCAUCCUCAGCCUUUCGUAGGGUUUACACAGAACUUUUUUUCAGAGCCGCCAUGCUUAUUUUCUCAGAUUUCAUCUCUUUUUUUUUUGCGUUUUUCAUGUUAGUUGUGAUUCAAACUUGUAGAUUUAACAUGUGACAUCUGAUUUCAAGCUUUCAAACCUCAAAAACGUGAAUAACAUUGAUGACUCCGAUUUAAUAGCCGCAUAUGACGAAAUCGCCACGCUUCAUCACUGCUGAGCGCUUCUCCGGCCGAGUAAUCGCGGGUGCGGCCGCGUUUUAGAACCUGGGUUGAGACCCAUUUAUUUAAAUGGGUUCUACUUAAAAUUAGUGGAGACCCUGUUAACCCAUUAAACUUAAUAUAAUUAAUUAUUUUUUGCAGGAAAAUGUGAUUGUAUAGUUUUGGCGAAAAAUUUGAUUUUACGAUUUAUGCGGAAAAACUUCGAUUUUCCGAUUUAUGCGGGAAAACAUAAAUUUUACGGUUUUGGCGGGAAAACUCAAAUUUUACGGUUUUGGCAGGAAAACUCGAUUUUACGGUUUUGGCGGGAAAACUUGAUUUUACAGGAAAACUCAUUUUUUUAUGGUUUUGACGGGAAAACUCAAUUUUUACAGUAUUUUACGGUUUUGGCAGGAAAACUCGAUUUUAACGGUUUUGGCGGAAAACUCGAUUUUGCGUUUUGGCGGGAAAACUGGAUUUUACGGUUUUGGUGGGAAAACUCGAUUUUAUGGUUUUUGCGGGAAAACUCGGUUUUACGGUUAUUGCGGGAAAACUCGGUUUUACGGUUUUUUGCGGAAAAACUUGAUUUUGCGGUUUUAGCGAAAAAAAAUCAAUUUUGCGGUUUUAGAAGAAAACUUGAUUUUAUGGUUUUACCAGAACAAUUUGAUUUGCGUUUAUAUAAUAAAAAUCAGUUAAAAUUUUUAUUUGUUUCAUUUAAUUUUUGUUAAAAACCAUAAAGUUAAAACAAUUAAAAAUUAAAUUAUCAAUAGUUUAAAUGGGUCUAAAUGGGUUAGUACAAAAUUUGUGGAUCUAACGGGGUGGGUUUAAAUGGGGUGGGUUUUACUAUUUUAACAUCCCUAAUAACAAUGGUUUUAGUUGUUAAUAUCUCGUCGUCCCUAAUUCGUCAUAAACAAAAACACGGAUCGUCUUUAAUUCGUCGUAAUGGGAAAACACAUGUCGUCGUUAUUUCGUCGUAAUAUCAAAGCAUGUGUCGUCUUUUAAUUCGUAGCAAUUCCAGUUACGACCCUAUUUUGUCGUAACUUUACGAUGUCGUUAUAUAAACCCAAACAGCCGAAACCAUUUCGUUGCUCCUUCCUCUCUCUCUCUAACAUUGAAUUCCCCUCCUCCCCCUACAUGUAAUUUUUUUCUUUUAGUUUUAGGUGGUUAGAUUAUGAUGGAAUUAGAUUUGGCUUGAAAUUAGUUUAGUAUGGAAUUAGAUUAGGUUUGAUCUAUUGCUGUCAACAAGAAGGUGAAGGCAGCGUUCAACGCUAAGGCGAUGGCUCGCCUGAAGAACAAUGUCGGGGAUUGGAAGGAGAAGUGGAUGGUUGUAGGGGAUGAGGCAAAACCUGUCUACAUCAGCGAUGACAUUUGGACUGGCUUGAAGACUUAUUGGAAUUGGCCUAAGUCAGUUCGAAAGUCCCUAUGUUGCUCCGCGUCUCGGUUGACGCAUGAUGCACAGGAAAAUUUUCCCAUACCCCCACACUUCCGGACAGACCCCACACGCUGGGAAGGUCCUACAAAUUGCUGCUCAAGAAGGAGCACCACCAUCUCUUUCCCGGAUUUACAAGAUGAAACACCAGCAUUCUGAUGGGACGUUUGUGCAUCCUCAAGCAUAAAAGAUCUACAACAAUGUGGAGGCUCAGAUCCAGGAGGCCCAGACAAAAAUAUCGCAACAAAAUCCGGAGGACGAAUCGGUCUAGUUGUCCACCGUCGAACAAGACAAAUUUUUUGAGUAGGUAAAGUAUUCAAUCUUUUAAAUAUAUGUUUAUAUACUUUUUAUUUUUAAAUUUUAUAUAUGUACUAAUAUUCAUUUCAUUAAUUGAAUGAAGGUUGUCCCAAAGAAAAGGGGACGGAUGGUCGGGAUCGGUACAGUGAACGGUUUCCCGAGGGUGAGAUCUGAAUAUGCUGCAAGAAUGCAGGACAAUUCUCAACUCCGGACAGAUUUGACGUCUGCCAACCAAGUCAUAUCGGAGCUCCGGACGGACAACCGAGCCAAAAGAACCCACAUUAGGGACAUGGCGGUGAUGUUCGAUGUUAUUGUCGACACAAACCCGGCUCUUGCGUAGAUGUGGCAAACUGUACGCCCCCAACCUCACUCCGGAAGAGCAUGCAGAUAUAGAGCAACAGACCGAGCACCAUAGUUCCCAGCUCUUCGAUGACAUCAACUAUAAUAAUUAGGUUUUAUUUCGGUUUUAUAUUUUGCAUUUUGAAUAUUAUUAUAUUUUGGAUAUUAUGUUUUAUGAUAUAUUAGUUUUUUCUUUAAAAUUUUCCAAAUUCAAGAUUUUUAAAAAUUUUCAAUAAACUUUUAAUUUUAUACAUUUUUAAUUUAAUUUUUUUUUUUAAAAAAUUCCCAAAAUUAUAUUCAUAUACGUAAUAUGGUCAUACAUAUUACGACGAAUUAACAUCGAUUUUCGACUUACGACCCUUUUACGACGAAGAUCGAUGUUAAUUCAUCAUAAUAUAUACAACGACUAUUUAACGUUGAAUGUAACGACUAAUAUACGACUAAGGAAAAUGAUGUAACAUUACGUCUUA